rnacentral:rRNA from 1 species
UACGUAGGGGGCAAGCGUUGUCCGGAUUUAUUGGGCGUAAAGCGCGUGUAGGCGGCUUGGUAGGUCAGCUGUGAAAACUCGAGGCUCAACCUCGAGCUGUCGGUUGAAACCACCUUGCUAGAGUCCGGAAGAGGAGAGUGGAAUUCCUGGUGUAGCGGUGAAAUGCGCAGAUAUCAGGAGGAACACCGGUGGCGAAGGCGGGUCUCUGGGCCGAUACUGACGCUGAGGAGCGAAAGCGUGGGGAGCGAACAGG